CACUCCUACGGGAGGCAGCAGUGGGGAAUUUUGGACAAUGGGCGAAAGCCUGAUCCAGCCAUGCCGCGUGCAGGAUGAAGGCCUUCGGGUUGUAAACUGCUUUUGUACGGAACGAAACGGCCUUUUCUAAUAAAGAGGGCUAAUGACGGUACCGUAAGAAUAAGCACCGGCUAACUACUUGCCAGCAGCCGCGGUAAUACGUAGGGUGCAAGCGUUAAUCGGAAUUACUGGGCGUAAAGCGUGCGCAGGCGGUUAUGUAAGACAGUUGUGAAAUCCCCGGGCUCAACCUGGGAACUGCAUCUGUGACUGCAUAGCUAGAGUACGGUAGAGGGGGAUGGAAUUCCGCGUGUAGCAGUGAAAUGCGUAGAUAUGCGGAGGAACACCGAUGGCGAAGGCAAUCCCCUGGACCUGUACUGACGCUCAUGCACGAAAGCGUGGGGAGCAAACAGGAUUAGAAACCCGAGUAGUCCCAUG
rnacentral:rRNA from 1 species